rnacentral:rRNA from 1 species
GAUGAACGCUGGCGGCGUGCUUAACACAUGCAAGUCGAACGAGAAGUGAAGACGGAACCCUUCGGGCGGAAGGCUUUAUUUCGAGUGGCGGACGGGUGAGUAACGCGUGGGUAACCUGCCUCAUACAGGGGGAUAACAGUUGGAAACGACUGUUAAUACCGCAUAAGACCACAGCACCGCAUGGUGCGGGGGUAAAAACUCCGGUGGUAUGAGAUGGACCCGCGUUCGAUUAGCCAGUUGGCGGGGUAACGGCCCACCAAAGCGACGAUCGAUAGCCGAUCUGAGAGGAUGACCGGCCACAUUGGGACUGAGACACGGCCCAAACUCCUACGGGAGGCAGCAGUGGGGAAUAUUGCACAAUGGGGGAAACCCUGAUGCAGCGACGCCGCGUGAGUGAAGAAGUAUUUCGGUAUGUAAAGCUCUAUCAGCAGGGAAGAAAAUGACGGUACCUGAGUAAGAAGCCCCGGCUAACUACG